rnacentral:rRNA from 1 species
AUUGAACGCUGGCGGCAGGCCUAACACAUGCAAGUCGAACGGCAGCACAGAAGAGCUUGCUCUUUGGGUGGCGAGUGGCGGACGGGUGAGUAACACGUAGGAAUCUACCCAGUAGUGGGGGAUAACCUGGGGAAACCCAGGCUAAUACCGCAUACGCCCUGAGGGGGAAAGCGGGGGAUCUUCGGACCUCGCGCUAUUGGAUGAGCCUGCGUCGGAUUAGCUAGUUGGUGGGGUAAGGGCCCACCAAGGCGACGAUCCGUAGCUGGUCUGAGAGGAUGAUCAGCCACACUGGGACUGAGACACGGCCCAGACUCCUACGGGAGGCAGCAGUGGGGAAUCUUGCGCAAUGGGCGAAAGCCUGACGCAGCCAUGCCGCGUGAAUGAUGAAGGUCUUAGGAUUGUAAAAUUCUUUUCACCGGGGAAGAUAAUGACGGUACCCGGAGAAGAAGCCCCGGCUAACUUCGUG